GGUUUUUCCAACGAAACGAAUAAGUUUUGGAUUGAGAUUUCACAUAAGCAUUGCACAAUGAUCCGCAUUAGGCGGGGAGCAGCAAUGAUACCGCCGGCCAGGAAUAAGUACUUAUCCCUCUUAUACUUAAUAAAAGAGAAUAGAAGUGAUCGGAAGAGCAGAACG